GUGAAGGCACAUAGCUCAGUAGUUAGAUUGUCACGCUUACAAUUGUGAGAUUGUGAGUUCAAUUCCUGGACUGGGUUGUGUAUUGUGUACUUGAGCAAGACGCUUUAUUUUCACGUUUGCUCCAGUUCACUCAGCUGUAGAAAUGAGUUGUGAUGUCACUGGUGCCAAGCUGUAUCGGCCCCUUUGCCUUUCCCCUUGGACAAUAUCAGUGGCUUGGAAAGGGGAGACUGGUAUGCAUGGGUGAUUGCUAGUCUUCCACGAACAACCUUGCCUGGACUUGUACUUCAGAGGAGGAACUUUCUAGGUGCAAUCCCACGGUCAUUCGUCACUGACGAGGGUCUGUACCAUACACACACACACACACACACCACACAUGCACACAUACACACACAUGCACACAUACACACACAUACACACAAAGAAACUUAAAUUUUGAUUGGGCCAAUGUCAAAUGGAAUAUUUUUUUUAACUCAUAAUAUAUAUUUUUUAGAAUAUUUUUUGCAGGUCGUGUAUGUGUAUAUAAACAUAUACUGUGAAGUAUUUAUGUAUGUAUAAUAUAGGUGCAGCUAUGACUGUGUGGUUUCAAACCUUACGAAUUCAGGUUCCAUUCCACUUCAAGGCACCAACCCCAACACCUUAUGCAAAUGUCUUCUAAAUUGGGCCAACCAAUGGUUUAUGGACGAAAUUUAGUAAACAGAAACUGUAUGGAAGCCUGCUGCAUAUAUAUAUAUGUGUGUAAUUGUAAGCAUGUCAGACAAAAAGCUCAGUGGCAUUCCUUUAUGUUAUGAGUUGAAAUCCUGUUAAGGUCAACUUUGCCUUUCAUCCCUUCAAGGUCUAUAAAGUGCUACUGAAGUAUUGAGGGGUCACUGUAAUUGACCUGUCCUCCUGCCCAAUCAAACUUUCUGGCCUUGAACCCUGCAAUAAAUGGUGUUCCAUUCAAGAGAACCAUACUAUUGAGAUCUUGGUCACUUAUACGCCAUGGAAACCAAGUUGCUGCCCUGAUGUGUCUUAGGGCUCAAGGAGAAAAAAAAUGGCAGGUUAGUGCAUGUGCACACACAAGUUUGUCUUUUUUUUUAAAUGUUUGAUAACUUGUAAGCAAUGGUAUAUUUUACAUUUACCUUAAGCAGUACAUUGGGUAGCGGCUUCGUGAUUUUAUGAAGACUUGUGGAAUAAUAAUACUUAACUUUAAAAAAGACAAGAGUUGGCAGCAAAAAGAGAACUCAGCCGUAAAAUAGCACCUCAAGAAACAUGGAAAAGGAAAAAAAAAUGUUCAUAUAUAAACAGGCAUAUGUAGGAAUACAUAUACCAUAUUUACUGGCGUAAAGGACACAUGAGAUACACCCCCAUUAUCAGCAGUACAUAUUCAGGAAAAAUGUUUUUAGAGUAUCAGAGCAUGUGAUGUAAGCCUAACUUUGCGUAUAGAACCAGGGUAACUUGUUUUUUUUUUUGGUUUUUGAUACAUUUUAUUUUUGGGAUAGUGUGUCAUUAUGUUCAUGCUAGUAUGGGUCUAGACAGUUGUUUGAGGCAAGAUUUCACGACUGGAUGCUCUUGCUGUUACCGACUCUUGUUUGUUUCUCAAGCAAGGAAUAUUUUCUUUAUUCCACAAGACUUCGAAAGCACAGAACGACACCAUGGAAUAUAAAUACAUAUGCGCAGGCACACAUAAAGAUAUCUACAGCAGGAUUCCUGUAGCUGGACCAAACCUGAAACCAUGUCGUUGCACAGUAAACUUUUUCAACCACACAGCCAUGCUAAUACCUAUGUGUGUGUAUAUAUAUAUAUAUAUAUACACACACACACACAUACAUAAACUGUCAGACACAUGCAAGCAUGGAAAAGUAGACGUUAAAAGGAGGAUGAUAUAUAUAUAUACACAUACGGAAAUGUAUGUGUAAGAUGUUCUUACACGGGCACAAACGUAUGAAUAUUGGCUGAUGUACAUGGGGUAAAUAAUUUUUUUUUGUUUUUAUGGCGUUGUGGGUGGCAGUUGUUUCUAGAAGAUAUACUGAUGUCUAUUUUACCAAAAUGAAUCUGUAAAUAAAAAAUCCUACCUUUUU